UAGCCUACGGGUGGCAGCAGUGGGGAAUUUUGGACAAUGGGCGCAAGCCUGAUCCAGCAAUGCCGCGUGCAGGAUGAAGGCCUUCGGGUUGUAAACUGCUUUUGUACGGAACGAAAAGCUUCGGGCUAAUACCCUGGAGUCAUGACGGUACCGUAAGAAUAAGCACCGGCUAACUACGUGCCAGCAGCCGCGGUAAUACGUAGGGUGCAAGCGUUAAUCGGAAUUACUGGGCGUAAAGCGUGCGCAGGCGGUUUUGUAAGACAGAGGUGAAAUCCCCGGGCUCAACCUGGGAACUGCCUUUGUGACUGCAAGGCUAGAGUACGGCAGAGGGGGAUGGAAUUCCGCGUGUAGCAGUGAAAUGCGUAGAUAUGCGGAGGAACACCGAUGGCGAAGGCAAUCCCCUGGGCCUGUACUGACGCUCAUGCACGAAAGCGUGGGGAGCAAACAGGAUUAGAUACCCGUGUAGUCAC
rnacentral:rRNA from 1 species